UAGGUUUUUUGAGGAAAAGAGAUAUAAGUCAACAAGAAUAUGGUGGUGGCAGUGGUUUUGGUUGUGAUUAUCGUGGAGGUUUAUGCUGAAUAGCUUCUACUCUGCUUUCUGUGGCAACCAAAAUGGCAUUGAAGUUUGAUAGAAGACAGCAAGAAAACAACAACGCCUCCUGAUGAUGUCUCCUGCUACAAUGUAACACGAAUGAAACCGUUUCUCUGCAACUUACUGUGGCUAUAGUGACUGCACAAAUUUCAAAAUAAUAUAUGUAAAAGCAUGGGUGUGAGUUAAUUUGUCUUGGCUCUUGUGCUUAUACCAUAUUUCACAAACUGACCUGAGCAAGUUGAUUAAACUGCAAACUUAUCUGGGAUAUGGCCACUUUUCCCAGAACAAAAGUGCUUGCUAAGAAGAAUAAAUACUUGAGUUUUGCCAAA